GAUGAACGCUGGCGGCGUGCCUAAUACAUGCAAGUCGAGCGAACGGACGAGAAGCUUGCUUCUCUGAUGUUAGCGGCGGACGGGUGAGUAACACGUGGAUAACCUACCUAUAAGACUGGGAUAACUUCGGGAAACCGUAGCUAAUACCGGAUAAUAUUUUGAACCGCAUGGUUCAAAAGUGAAAAACGGUCUUGCUGUCACUUAUAGAUGGAUCCGCGCUGCAUUAGCUAGUUGGUAAGGUAACGGCUUACCAAGGCAACGAUGCAUAGCCGACCUGAGAGAGUGAUCGGCCACACUGGAACUGAGACACGGUCCAGACUCCUACGGGAGGCAGCAGUAGGGAAUCUUCCGCAAUGGGCGAAAGCCUGACGGAGCAACGCCGCGUGAGUGAUGAAGGUCUUCGGAUCGUAAAACUCUGUUAUUAGGGAAGAACAUAUGUGUAAGUAACUGUGCACAUCUUGACGGUACCUAAUCAGAAAGCCACGGCUAACUACGUG
rnacentral:rRNA from 1 species